rnacentral:tRNA from 1 species
GCCUGAGUGGCUCAGUGACUGAGUAUCUGCCUUUGGCUCAGGUUGUGAUCCCGGGGCUGUGGGAUCAAGUCCCAUAUCGGGCU